GUGUUGGAUUGUUCACCCACCAA
rnacentral:snRNA from 1 species